rnacentral:lncRNA from 1 species
GUACUUUGCAAAGACAAAUAUGUCAAUACUUACUAUCAACAGACUGAUUGAAAUAUAAACCCCUGGGAAGGAAGAUUGCAAUGGAAAUCAAAGGAAUGUCAGAAAGAAAACGCAGCAGCAUGGCUUAGUUUAUGGAGCAUUGGCCUGAGAGACAGAAGAACUUGGGUUCUAAUCCCAGCUCCACUACUCAUCUACUGGGUGACCUGGGGUAAGUCACUUAACUUCACUGUGCCUGUCACCUCAUCUGUAAAAAUGAGGAUACUGUGAGCCUUAUGUAGGGGACAGACUGUGUCCAACCUGAUUAGUGUAUUUACCCUAGUGCUUUGUAGAGCCCGGGCACAGAGUUAGCACUUAACAGAUACUAUAGAACAAACAAAAAAGAAUAGCAAAUAAGUCUUUUUAUUACCAGACUCUAAAGUAUGACAAUGAAUGCAGAAUAAUUUCCAUAUAACACCAGGUGUUCCCUUGCUGUUGAUUAUUUCAAAUAUAAAAACACUUUGUGGAUAAUGAAACUCACUUUCUUAGUCUUCUGACCAUCAACAACAGGCAAUUUUAUGCCUCGGGCUGAUCCCAGCAGCCACUACUACUGUGAUGACAGCAGGGGGGCAUAGAGGGGAGUCUUUCUUCCCAUCUGAUCCACCUACUUCCCGCUGGACUCCCUGCAGAGGCAAAACCUGGAAAGCUGGCAAGAAGCAACAGGACUGGAGCAGGAGAAGAUUAACCCUCGCAUGGUUCCCAUUACAAAAGGCCUUUUUUAUGCUGUCACUGGAAGCUUCGACUUGUUCUGGUGGUAGUGGAGGCUGGUGUUUCCGCCUCGUGGCCCCAGCUUGUUCCGGGUUUAGAUUCUCAACUCUCCAGACCGACGUGCUGAGAUGUGUCCACUGCUCUCGUUCAAUUGCUGGAGGACUCCUCUAUCCACAACAUCAGAGAUACAGGACCUAAUG